GACAAUGCAGAUGUGUCUGGCACCAUCCACAACAUGAAACAGACACCAGACAACAGAAAAAACAGCAAAUAAGCUGGGAAAAACCAUCACUGCCCUAUAGACAGGUCUAAUGAAAUAUCCACACAAAUGCACUUUUAUAGAAUGAAAACACCUGGUCACCCACCAAGCACAUCAUGCCAUGUGGCACGGGACCAGGAAGAGAAGCAGACGAGUAACAUCAACGAUGCCAGCUGAUUGCAGAACAGGCAUGCUAGAAGAAACCAUCUCUGAUAGGUGUGGGACAGGAACAACAUGGGGGCAGCUAUACAACACAGGGCCAUGA
rnacentral:lncRNA from 1 species